rnacentral:lncRNA from 1 species
AGGUCUGAGAAAAGGCUGUUUUCAGGGUGUAAACACUCCCCUUGUUUCCCUGGGAUGAUGCAUAGUGGUUAAGCCUCUGGGGCCUUUGUGCAUUUUUCAGGCAUGAGUGACACAGUGCUGGGUGGCAGACCCUGUUAGCGGAUGCUGGACACAGGCCAGGGCAUCUCAGCCUCCCAGGGAGGAUCCAUCUGGUGGAAGUUGGGCACCUUGUAA